UAGCUUGGGGAUUGAACUCAUAAAAAAUAUUGGAACUAAGGUAUGGAUUGUGAUCUACGUGAAUUGCCUACUAUGUCGUGUGGACAUGUGAUUUUGAUUGAGUGACCGCCUUAUUAUGAACCGAUUACUUUGGGGAAUUGUGAACUUAUGGUCCUUUGCAGGUGAGGAAAAUGACAAAUGAAUCUGGUUUGGACUUCAGAGAUCAGAUAGUUUUAUCAGAGGGCAAAUAUCAACAGAAAGCAAAGGCCCCGCCCCAUAUUUUUCCCCCAUUCCUUCGUGCGCUGCCCUUUUCUCCGGAGGAUGCUGACGGUGACCAGAAAAAAUG